rnacentral:rRNA from 1 species
AUUGAACGCUGGCGGCAUGCCUUACACAUGCAAGUCGAACGGUAACAGGUCUUCGGAUGCUGACGAGUGGCGAACGGGUGAGUAAUACAUCGGAACGUGCCUAGUAGUGGGGGAUAACUACUCGAAAGAGUGGCUAAUACCGCAUGAGAUCUACGGAUGAAAGCAGGGGAGCGCAAGACCUUGUGCUACUAGAGCGGCCGAGGGCAGAUUAGGUAGUUGGGGGGGUAAAAGCUGACCAAGCCGACGAUCUGUAGCUGGUCUGGGAGGACGAUCAGCCACACUGGGACUGAGACCCGGCCCAGACUCCUACGGGAGGAAGCAGUGGGGAAAUUUAGACAAUGGGCGCAAGCCUGAUCCAGCAAUGCCGCGUGCAGGAUGAAGGCCUUCGGGUUGUAAACUGCUUUUGUACGGAACGAAAAGCCCUGGGUUAAUACCCUGGGGUCAUGACGGUACCGUAAGAAUAAGCACCGGCUAACUACGUGCCAGCCGCCGCCGUAACAC